rnacentral:rRNA from 1 species
UACGUAGGGUGCAAGCGUUAAUCGGAAUUACUGGGCGUAAAGCGUGCGCAGGCGGCUUUGUAAGUCUGACGUGAAAUCCCCGGGCUCAACCUGGGAAUUGCGUUGGAGACUGCAAGGCUAGAAUCUGGCAGAGGGGGGUAGAAUUCCACGUGUAGCAGUGAAAUGCGUAGAGAUGUGGAGGAACACCGAUGGCGAAGGCAGCCCCCUGG